GUCCUACCAUUAUCUACACGAGUAAAGAGUCCUUCUCCAAAGGUUAACUGAAGUUAAAUAUUCUGGUAUUCAUAACAUCUAAAUGAUUAGCGUAGUAGUAGUCGGAGUUGUAGGAGUAGUAGUAAAAGUAGUUUUAUCCACCUUUAUCAUAAUACAAUUAUUACUUGAUGAGAAUGUAGAUAUAGUUAAUGUUUCUACUCCUAAUCUAAUAGGAUCCAAUUUCAUUUAAUGCAUCUCUGACACGUGGUUCCAUGAAACAUAGUGGAAUUUGACUGUUAUGAAAAUGAUGCAGUACUUCAUAGAAAAAAUGUCUUCUAAUCAUUCUGACAAACUACAAAAGAAAGGGGGGGUGGGGUGAGGCAGAAUUGCAGUAUACAUUAGGAGAUAUAUCAUAACAAAAUGGUGUCUGAUACUUGGUUAAUCGAAGUGAGAUAUUUUGAGGCAGUUAGAUUGUCAGAAUAUCCCAGUCAAUUAGACUUUCAAUAAAAUGUUAGAUUUUUAUUCAUCUCCAGUGGACAAUCAACAUCUUUUGGGAGAAUUUUUGUUCUUUCCAAAAUUGAAUUUUAUGUCAGAAAAUCAUUAUAAUAGAAGAUUCCCAAAUGAUUUUACUUAAAUGCUGAUAUGAUCUGCCAACUGUUCCUAGAACUGCUUCAUAACUGUCUUAAAAUUUAUAACCUCUGUUCUUCUUUUGGAAAUGGAAUAUAUCGAAUGCUUCUCUUAUUCUGGUAUGAACAGCAUGGCCAACAAAUAAAUGUAUUAUCCAUUCUCUUACCAGUCAAAAUUUAAUUAACCUCAUGUUUAUUUUCACUUCUUGGUCAUCUCUCAGUUGUUCUGUGAUAAUAAUUCAUUUUGGUUGGCUUAACACAAAAGUUAAAUUUACACAAAGUGAAUUUGGCAGAACCUCAGCUGUAUAUGCCAGAUGAUAUUUUAAUGUAUCUGUCUUUAUUGUGAAAUGAAUUUUGUGGAAUUUGUCUGUUGUACAUUCAGGCAUCCUUAAGGCUAACUACCUGCAGUACUGUGUUCAGCUUGGGGGGCUCCAACAUAUGACCUGUUAGAAGGGGUCCAGAGGAGGGCCACAAACAUGAUCAUAGAACUGGAACACUUCUCCUACAAAGACAAUCUGAGGGAUAUGGGGUUGCUUGGCCUCUACAGGGAGACCUUAUAGUGGCCUUCUUAUACCUAAAGUGGGCCUACAGGAAAGCUGGAGAGGGACCUGGUUGUUUUCUUCACUUUUGUUUUGACAUUAGUUGCUGUCCAAAUAGCCAGGUUUAUGAGUCAGUUAUCAUGGAGUGUACCUAUUACAUUCAGUGUGCAAACAAGGUCAUGAAGAGAAUGAACUACCGUGAACUUCUUUUCGUACCUCCACCCCCAUCCUACCUUCUCCACCUCCAUGGUAAACUUUCUUAUUUCAGGCCUAUAUAUUUGCCCAAAAACAAUAUAUUGAUUUUUUUUUUCCCAGAAAGUAAAUUUUAUUUUAAAAAUCAUUUAUGCCAGAAAAAAAAGUCUUUGUUCUAAACCCAGAAAACCCUUCAGUAUGACAUUUUAAGCUUUAUGUAAUUAUUAGUUUCUUUAGGCAUGUCAUAUUUCAUAUACAUUUAGUUUUCCCUGUUUUUAACUGAAGAUCAUACAUGCAAUGUAUUGUCUGUAUAACAAAUAUUACUACAUCACAUGUUUCUGAGGUUAUGAAGAAGAAUUUAAUUUUUAUUUACUUGUAUCUCUCUCUAAGUACCAUAACGAAUCAUUAUAAAGUUGUUCUCUUAGCUCUGAGUUUAUUCUAAAAUAUUAAGAUAUAGUUUCCACAACUGCUUUGCCUCCUUAAGUGCCACCUAGAUUUUCAAGUAUAAGAACUUAGAAACAAGCCUUUUUGCAGCAAGGCUUUUCACAACAGACAAUCUUUUUGGUGUUCAGCAAAUCUAUCUUCCCUUUCUUUCUCUUUGCUAGCCCAGCCAAUCUUCAUAUUAGCCAAUAUAUAUUUGGUUUGUAAUUGAAUUUCAGUUUAAUAUAUCACUAGAAAUUACUUAAAAAAAAAAAAAAAGAGAGAGAGAGAGAGAAAGAGAGAAAGAUGCCUCAGUACCCCUUUACCAAUCUGACAAAUAACUUCCCCUGCAUAUACACCAUCCAGAUUUGUUAGCUCUGUCUUUCUAACAUAGAACACAGGUUGCUGAGUAUAGGCAUAUAUGUAUAUAUAUAAUAUUAUAUAUAUAUAUAAACAAUAGUUAACUUCUUGGGCUAAGGAAAAUAUUCAACUUUCACUCUCAUUUAAGUUAGUUUGUUUUUUUCUGCUUGUUGCCAAACAGUUGAAAAUGAGAAAAUUUAAAGAAUGUGCUUUCUCUUCAUAUGAGUACACAACAGUUGAUGCUAGCAGGGCAUUUGACAGUAAUAAAUAGUAUCUGGAAUGUAACUCUGUUCAGUUGUCGCUGUUUCUUCUAUUCUGGGUAUGGGUGGAUGUAUAGUCUUGUUUCUAAAUGCCAUCACCUUCUAUCUGGGUAUGAAAUAUAGACUUAUCUUCAUCCUGGAGUCAUUGUAAUGCCAUUUUUUUAAACGGGAUUUAAAAUCACCCAGUGUAAUAUUGAUAGCAGUGCCAGUUAGGCACUGUCUUGUUUUUGCUUCUCAAUUAAUGACACAUCUAUGCGCUUAAUAUUUACAUGUUAGACUGAAAAGCUUUUACUGCAUAGGCAAACUUAACCAUUUUUAUUUUAGUGGAGCGAAUCAUAUUCUUCUGUUAUCUGUUUCCAUACCAAGUUAUUUCUAUUGAUGAAAAAAAAAAAAAAACAAUAAUUCACAGGCAACUCUAUUACUGUUGUUCAUAAUUAAACCAUCUCAACUGAAACAUACAACAGGCUACUUGUAAAAUUUAUGAACUCUGUGUGUGUGUGUGUGUGUGUGAGAGAGAGAUUUAAUAUCUGCAGCACACAGAAAAGUCUAAGCUACAAAGUUAACAAAUUGUGUAUAGGAAGGAGAAAUGCAUUCCCUGAUUAAGAAAUAAUUGAGCAUACAGGUAAGGGAAAAAUUGAGUAGUAAGACCAGAAGUUGCCUUCAUGAUGGUAUAAAAUAAAUCUAUGGUUUGGACACCCAAAAAUAUAUCUAAAGUGAUAAAGCAAAACAAGGUAAAUUUGAAGGUAGCAGAUCCUUAACUAAUAGACAAUAAAUAUAUUUCCUUUUUCAUGCAGCUUAAGGCAAAAAGGUAAAAAAAAAAAAAAAAAAAAAAAGUCAUGCUGACAGCUCUCAGGGGGAAAAAAGGAAAAAAAAAAUUGUUAUAGUGGUAAAUGAUAAACUCUAAAUGGCUUCCUUGUGAUUAACUUCAUAAAUUCUAAUUCUAUUCUACUAUAUCAUCAUGCAUGGAUGCUAUGUGCAAAGUAAUUUGAAUUACAGUGCAGGGAAGCCUGUUUUGAUGUAAAGUAGCUGUUGUGUAUUUUGUAGGAUGUAAGAAACACAGAGAUAUUUGCAUCAUCUAAUCUGCAUUCUGGGAUAUUACAUACUAUUUAAAUUAAUCCUGUUAAAUAAAUAAUUAAUAGCUGUGUGAUGAUUUUAGAUUAAUGGGUUUAAAAUAUACAUAUAUAUUUAAUUUAAAAGUAAGAAAAAAAAGAAAUAAAGGAUAAAAACAGAAUAUGUAAUUAAAUCAGUUAGUUGUGAAAGGAGUGAUAAAGUUAUGAUGAAUAAUCAUCAUAUAUUCAGAGCACAAUUAAUCAUAUAUGGUAAACUAAAAAAAAUAGCCUGAUUCUUCUUCUGUCUGCUAAAAUGCUUAUGGAGUCAGAAACUGUGCGAGUACUAUUUAAAUAUAUGCUAUAUUUACAACUUUGCUCAUACUGUCAUUAUGGAAAUCAUUGGCUUGCAGGUAUCUUUAAAACACCAUAAAUCCUAUAUUAUGUAUUAUUGCAACAAUUCUGGACUCAAAAAUUGGUGGCAAAUCUAAUAAUAUUGGUGAGGCCAAGAUUUUAUUAUUUAGGAAUUUUAGAUUAGAGUACUAAUCAAAGGUACUAAUCACACACAGGUGCAGUGCUAUGUAAGGGAACUCACAUAUGUAUUGCAUCAGCACUAUUGAUAUAGAAAGGAAAUAGUAAUUGCCUUAAGAAAACUUUAAGUGAGUCCAAGUUGGUGGCCCAAGGGCAACUUGACCUCUGGUCAGUUAAGAAAGAUAGAAACUCUGGAAGAGGCACCUGUUAGAUCAUGAAGUAAAAUGUGGAAGAAAUGGUAUAAGGAAAAAAAAUAAACAUCCCAUUUCAUUGUGAAAUCACUUCUUAAACUGAUAACAUUUAAGAUGCUAAAAAGCCUCAUUAAAGAAAUCCACCAGAACUGCAUUUGGGGAUGAAGGAACACAUGAUUUUCUUAUGAAAUCUCUAAUAUCUUUGCUAACCUUUCUUCAUUUAUAUUGGGAAGAACUGCCUUAAAUUACAAAGAAGACUUCAGUAUGUUCAAGCCUGUUUAUACACAGCUGCUAUAUACAUGAGAACAUCACAGAAGAAUUAAUCUGAGCAUUUUGAAGUUUGGCUCAUUCCACUGAUUUUAAGAGGCUUUCAAUCCAGUGCCACUAGUUGGCCAUUGGCCAUCAUUUCUGACAUUCAAGGGUAUGUGUGUAUAUAUCCAAUUUCCCAACAACUACUGGUAGAUACCUCAUCUCAUUUUAGUGCAUGAUUAUAAAAACACUAAAGUAGCACAUUUCUUAGCUGGAUAGAUAUGUUGCUAUUUAUGGGGAUUUUGUCAUGUAUAUUUAUGAGCUUCUAAAAUUGUAUAUCCAUUUUCAGAAUUUCUUUAGUGUCUAAAUCUCAUGAAUUAUAACAUAAAUGUUUUAAUAUGCAUGAUUAUUAACAAUACAUAAGAAAAAUACAAGUAAUAUUGUGACUAAUUUCCUGUGGGGACUGAUAAAUUGCCUGUAUAUUUAUUUCUUGUUGGAAAAUCUGACUUCAUAAUUUCAUAUGAUUCCUAGGUAUAAUAUGUGUCUUUGUCAAAUAAGGCAAAACAUAUUUGACAUCCAUUUACAUGCCAUUUAGAGAUCUUGGUGUACAUUAAUAGAAAAAUACAAACUUUUUUUUUUUUUUCCCCACCAAACAGGCUAUUGACCUGUCACUUAAAAAUGAUAAGAAUUUAUUUGGUACUAUUUCCACACCUUUACUGUUUUAAUUUAUGGACUGAUUAUUACUUUCAUAAACCUGUAGCCAGACUCAACAUCAGCUCAAGCUUGCAAGGAUGUCAUUUAAUUAGGAGGAAGAGAUGAACACUUUUCAACAACCCAUUCUUCUCACUGCUGAAUUUUUCUGAACUCGUUUAUCACACCCUGUUAACAAAUGCUGGCAAUAUAUAAGCAUUUUAAAUGUUGUAUAUGAAUUAAGAGAUUUAUGUAUGUGCUGGCUUAUGCUUUGUUGUUCCUAAAAGUGUAAAAUGAUGCCCUUAUUAGCUAUCUAAAUAGCCACUAAUGAUAUUUCUCUCUGGAUACAGUGCCUAGUGUCAUAAGGGAUGAACUCAUGCUGCAGCCUAAGAAUAAUUCAGCUUAAGAUUCCUUCAGCCAUGAGAUACAGAUCCCCUGGGAAUCGGGUUUUGUUCGUUAGUUUUGAAAACGUUUGAAAAAUACAAUGAUUUUUAAAGCAAAGAAUGAGAGGAGACCUCUAGUUUUCAUUACAAAAAUCAAACAAUCAUAUUCCCUCUGCUCCCAAAACAAACAAACAAAAAACACAUUUGCCAUAAUGCACAACUAUAGAAAUCUCAAAAAUACCUGUGGUAUGAGAAAGCUGUUUCCUGCUUUUCUGGGGAGUCACAUGCCUUGUUUUAAAUGUUCAGUAAACAGUAUCUGCUAUCUCACAUUUGAUAAAUAAAAUUUAUAGCCAGUUACAAAACAUGCCUCAGUGAAGAGUACUUAGGAAACCUCUGUUACACAUCUAUGAAGUAGUAUUUCUUGACUGCUACCAUUUCUAACUGUGAUAUCAUCUCUUUCCACAUCAAAGUCACUGCUGCUUAUUUUGUGGAAUGGGAUUUAAAAGUGGAGUUUCAAGCAAGGCAUUCUCCAGUAUAUGUGAUAGAUGUAGUAGCACAGAGACCAUUCCAUGUAAGCUUUUAGCCCCCAAGUCUCUAGAUUAUCAUCCAAAAUGUUCUGAAGAGCAUUAAUAAUUAAAAUAUUCUCAAGCUUUUUGGGUAAAGACAGUCCUGCUAAACAUAGGUUUGGAUAAACUGCUAAGAUCAACACUUGCUUGGAUUUUGGCAAGAGUAUUUUUCCACAUUACAGAACAUAUAACAAUUUCAGGUAAUUUGAUUUAAAAGAAGUCCACGUAAGAGCAAUUUGCAAAGCACUUCCUUGUCAAAACUUUGAUGGGUUGUAUUGUGGAAGGAAGUACAGGUAAACACACCUUACAUGUACACAAUAACCAUGUCAUUAAAUUCGGCAACACAGAGUAACGGAGUUUAUCUUUGUUUUCAUCAUAAUAGAGUUGCAUUUUCUCAUAAAUUAUGAUCACCCCAGUUAGUAGUGUAAUGAUAGUAGUGUAUCAGCUAGGGAUUCGCAAAAAAACUGCUUGUAGAAAGGCAUGCUAAAAAAAUAAAAAAAUAAAUCUUCAGUGAAUUUUAAAGUUACUUAAUUGUAUCCAAAUGGGAUGUGGAGAAAAUAGCAUUUAAACCAGUCAUUUUUGUAGUAUUCUGGAUUGCAUAUCUGGGAAGGAUUUAGCAGUCUAAGAUUGCAAGUGAAGAAGUGAUUGUGAAAGCAGUGACAGCUGCAAAUAUGAAUACUUAGCUUGCCAGGAUCCUGUCUUUACUGAAGAGUUAUAUUUUAAAGAUGUCUACAGUUGACUGGGAACCUGAGCUGUGGCAAGAAAUUGCUCUUCCUAAAGCACUCUACAGUAAAACAUACGUUGAAUGAAUUGUAGGCUUGGGUUAGUGUGAAUGUAAAAUGAAAAUUUUAAGGUUUAAAGUUAUAUGAAAAUCCUAAAAAAAAAUGUGUAUUGUUUUAUAUUUUAUGAUUUGUCAUCUUUGGUAAUCAUUAAACAAAGUAAACCUAAUUUUAAAA